rnacentral:misc_RNA from 1 species
UUAAUUCUAGGUUUAAUUCAGACACAGACAGAUAUAUUGCAUAAAUACGACGCCAUGGCGCCGAAGCACGACUCUAUUCCACGGGUUUUGAAGUUGAAGGCCGAAGCCAUUCGAUAAUGAUCCCUCCGCAGGUUCACCUACGGAGA